rnacentral:rRNA from 1 species
UACAGAGAGUGCAAGCGUUGUUCGGAAUUAUUGGGCGUAAAGCGCGUGUAGGCGGCUCGAUAAGUCUGGCGUGAAAGCCUGAGGCUUAACCUCAGAAGUGCGCUGGAAACUGUCAAGCUGGAGUAUCGGAGGGGGAAGUGGAAUGCCGAGUGUAGAGGUGAAAUUCGUAGAUAUUCGGCAGAACAUCAGUGGCGAAGGCGACUUCCUGGACGAAUACUGACGCUGAGACGCGAAAGCGUGGGUAGCAAACAGGAUUAGAUACCCUGGUAGUCCACGCUGUAAACGAUGGGUGCUAGUUGUCGCGGGUAUCCAACCCCGCGGUAACGAAGCUAACGCGAUAAGCACCCCGCCUGGGGAGUACGGCCGCAAGGUUAAA